UUCAGAACACCUGUGUGGGCUUCAGAGCCUGAGUCUCCAUGGUCGGACCAAACAGAGGAAGACUUGACAGUAAUUCAGAAGAUAAUGACCGACAGCUUGGAAAGUGGUCCAGUCUUUACAAGAGGUGAGCCUCGAUGCGGAGCCAGUGCAGUCCCUGCCUGACGUAACGAACCAGCUCGGUCAUGCUGCUCUGCUGACUCAAAGGCUCCAUGACGGCGUCCAGCUCCUGGAAGAAGUCUGCAGGAGGGAGGAGAGAUGAGUUACUAAAACGCACCGCACGUCAACCGCCUCUGUUUGGGCUUUUGUUCUGCAAGGAAAGGCAAACACAGGCGGCUGUCACCGGAGUCUGUGUCCUCGCCCCCAACAGGGACCCAUCACCUACUGCAAGCUCAUAAUGCUCUUAUCCGCCUCUGUGACUGACAAAUCGCUUUAACCUCCUAUAGAAACCGGGAUCUGCUUUGCUUUAGAGUUUUUUAAGGUGGAAGGUUCAGUUGCUGCAUUUAAUUUUUUUUUUUUUUUUUUUUUUUUUAUUAAUUUGAUUUAAGGUAAUUUUAUUUUAUUUAAAUUUGAUUUUAUUUUUAUUUCAUCUUUAUUUUUAUUAU